rnacentral:rRNA from 1 species
AUACGGAGGAUGCAAGCGUUAUCCGGAUUCAUUGGGUUUAAAGGGUGCGCAGGCGGAUUAAUAAGUCAGUGGUGAAAUCCUACGGCUCAACUGUAGAACUGCCAUUGAUACUGUUAGUCUUGAGUAUUGUUGAGGUAGGCGGAAUGUGUCAUGUAGCGGUGAAAUGCUUAGAUAUGACACAGAACACCAAUCGCGAAGGCAGCUUACCAAGCAAUAACUGACGCUCAUGCACGAAAGCGUGGGGAUCAAACAGGAUUAGAUACCCUGGUAGUCCACGCUGUAAACGAUGAACACUCGAUGUUGGCGAUACACAGUCAGCGUCUGAGCGAAAGUAUUAAGUGUUCCACCUGGGGAGUACGGUCGCAAGAUUGAA